AAUUCAUACGUAAAAGGAGGCCUUGACUUUGAAAUUGGUAGGGGAGCAAGGCCGAUCUGGGCUGGGUUCCAUUGGGCCGAAUGCAUCGAGGACCCACCUGUCAGACGGGUCCAUGUAAGAGUCUCCAAGACCAGGUGCACGCAGCCACGCAGCGGAGCACCACCAGAUCUCCCUUGGACCGGUUCCAUCGUCUCCGCCGUGGACCAGCGCCAACCCUCGCCACCGCACGUCGCCGGGCUCCGGCGAGGCCGCCGGAGUGUCGUCGGGAAGCGGAGGGCCUCCUCCGUGCCGCGCCUCCCUCCGCCCCUCACCCCUUCCUCCUCAUGGCUAGGUCCUGACCUGAGGUGGGGCUCCGCGGCUACUGCUCCCCGCCUCGCCCCGCCCCCGCCCCCGCCCCCUGCCUCUCCGCCGCGGCGCCACUCCGGGCUCCGGCACCUCCCUCUCCGUGCGCUCCUGCGGGAAGUUGUGUGGAGCUAUCUCUGAUGCUGUUUAUGCAAAGACUUAUGCUCACUUCUUGAUUAGAAAUGGACAGUAGCCGAGAUUCUGAAGAAGAAAGGCCUCAAAGGAAGGACAAUGGCGAAGAAACUGAAAAUGGGGAAGAUGGUGGAAAUGCUUUGAGCCUCAAGGAUGUUGCCAAUGAGCUUCUUGGUUGUGUUGUCCAUAGUGAGGAAGAGGCAUACAAACUGUAUUGUGACUAUGGACAUAGAAUUGGUUUUAGUGUCCGCAAGGGUAAACAGUCUUACUUCAUUGGCACGAAGAAUAUUCGUACAAAAGAUUACUACUGCUCAAAAGAAGGGCUUAAGUACGAUGAGCCAGUUACAGAAGCAAAUUUUAAUCGACCAGACACAAGAACUAAUUGCAAAGCAAUGAUCCGCUUUAGAGUUGAUGAGAAAGGACGCUGGACAGUCAUACGCUUUGUCCCAACGCAUAAUCACCAGUUGGCUAAACCUGGGGAAAGACACAUGUUGAGAUCUGCGAAGUCGCUUGCUGUUGGAAAAUCAGGUGUCAUAGAUCCACAAGCAUCUACGGAAUCACAUCCAAUAAAUGGUUUCUCUCAUAUGAUAGGAAGUGAUAUUGUGGAGCCUCCUGGGUAUACUAUAAGGGAUUGCUACAAUCAUGUGAGCAUGCAGGGUAUAACGAUAAUCGAGGCAGGAGACAGCCAAAGUCUUGUGAACUAUUUCAAGCGUAGAACCAAUGAGGAAGGUAUGUUCUAUUGGGAUGUUCAAGUUGAUCAAGAAGGUCGUAUGACCAACUUUUUCUUCAGGGAUGCCAAAAGUAGAAAUGAUUUUGACUGCUUUGGAGAUGCUGUUAUAUUUGACACAACCUUCCGCACAAAUAAAUACAGCCUGGUAUGUGCUCCUUUUGUUGGAGUUAACCACCAUUGGCAGAAUAUUGUUUUUGGAUGUGCAUUCUUGUUAGAUGAGUCCUCAGCUUCCUAUGUUUGGUUAUUUAAAUCAUUCCUCGAGUCAAUGGGUGGCCGGUCUCCAAAAUCAAUUUUCACUGAUCAGGAUGACGCUAUUACGCAGGCAGUUGAGCUGGUUUUUCCUAACACGCAGCACUGUUUUUCCUAUUGGCAUAUUCUGAAAAAUGCACAGUCUCAUUUAGGCACGGUAAAUACCUCUCAAACAUUUCAAAAUAUGUUUAUUAAGUGCAUGCAAGGACCUAACUCAGAAACGGAGCUUGAGGAAUCAUGGGCCACAAUGUUAAAUGAAUAUAAGUUACAGGAGAAUAGCUGGCUUAGCGACCUUUAUAGGUCCCGCAAUAAAUGGUGCUCAGCAUUUAAUAAAGAUACUUUCGAUGGUGGGAUCAAUUCAUCUCAGUGGGGGGAGGUCUCAAACAAUACAUUUACUGGAAUAUCUGAUGAAUCUACCCCUCUUACACGAUUUGCCCUUUUACUAGAAAAGGUUUUCAAGGGUCUACGUAGAAAUGAAUCUGAAGAGGAUUUUCGCUGUAGCCAAACUGCUCCAGUUCGUGCAAUUAAACACAGUACAGUUCUGAAGCAGGCCGCAGAAUCCUACACGCAUAAGAUAUACAAAUUAUUUGAGGCAGAAUUUCUGGAUGGGUGCGGAGCAACUUCAUGCCAUGAAAGUUCUUGUGGUGGGAACUUGUUGAGGUUUGAAAUUACUAUGCAGGGGAGGGGAUCAAAAGUGUGGACCGUUCUUCUUGAUACCUCCACGAUGGAAAUCUCUUGUGGUUGCAGAAAGUUUGAAAGGAUGGGUCUUCUUUGUUCACAUGCUCUGAAAGCCUUCAGCCUGCAAAAUGUGGACACAAUUCCUGAGAAGUACAUUUCGAAACGAUGGACAAAAGAUGCCAGGAGAAGCAUGUAUAAGCUUAGUCAAGAUGAUUCAACACAACAGGAAUGCACUGAGGCUGAACUUGCAUAUCGCAACCGGGCAACGCAGUAUGCAUGUAGCCUUAUAGCGAAGAGCCAGGAACUGGAUGAAUCAAGAAAGAUAUUCUGGGACACCCUUGAAACAGGAGAAAAAGCACUUGAUGUAUUCUUUGAAAUUAGAAGUUUGCGUAGUCAAGCUGCAAAAGAUGUCAGUAAAAGGGACAAAAAGAAGAAAAAAUCAUCUAAAGGACCAAGCACAAGUGAAAAAAGCAAAACCAACCCCAGCAACUUCCUCUGCUGUACCUGAACUUCUUGCCCAAACUAAUGUGCACCAGUUUCAAUCUGCACAAGAUGCUCAGGGUAACACGACAAUUGGUAGACCGUUGUACUAUCAGGCUUUUUCAUCUGCCCCAAUUCAACCAAACCAGAUCUACAUGCAUCCGAACAUGCACACAAUGCCUCUUUGUGCACCACAGCAGGAUUUCUCGGCAUAUUCUGCAAUGCGUCCCAAUUCGAAUUUUGGUGGUGCAAAGAAUGUCUGAAGGACAGUAAGGAAUCUGCUAAGACGUCUUUUGGAAAAUGCUGCUUGGACAUGGAUGCAGCCAACCACCUGGAUGGAUUUUGUCAACCUUCCCGGAGGUGUGAUGUUGCUUUUGGAUGUUAAUUUCUGGCUCGCAACUGUUGAUGUGUGUAACUAUUCUGGUCUUUGACGUUUCUGUUCUGUUGAAGUGGAGUUCUAGUAAUGUCAAUUAGGUGACUGUAGGCUUGUAAGUUAUAAUUGGAGUGUAGAUGCUGGAUGAAUAGAGGCCAGGAACAUGUUGCUUCCAUUGUCUUAAGGAAAAGGUUGUAACUGGGAGUAGUCACUAGCUAUUUACAGGAUCAGAUUCUUUGGGCUAAAAGAUGAUCAGCUGGCGCCCUUGUUGCCUCUUGGCCCAUGGUGCUACUAGUUGUCAAGAGCAGAUAGCAUCCCUUCUCGAAGGAGUUGAGCUGCAGAACAAUGUGAAAAGGAAGCUGAAAUGGAAGCUCAUGCAGAUUCAGUGAAGUGCACCGUCUCUGCAUGGGAGGCAGUAGUUCCAAACUGACCUUGUUAUAUGUUUUUUUUUGUGAAGAUUUUGGAUCUAAUUUAGUGUACCUGUACAAUCUGACUGCUGAUUAAGAUGACACAGCAGUAUUGAUCUGAUAUUGAAACUGUCUAUGCUCUUCGAUUGUUCA